rnacentral:rRNA from 1 species
CUAACUAGUUGCGUAUAAGUAUUUUUUAGUUGCGUUGCGUGCCUUUUGCAUCAUGCUUUGUGGAUGCGUGGAUCAAAUUUCUACUACCGAAAAGUCCUGAUUUUGCUGCUGAUUGCUUUGUUUUAUGCCGGGUAGGCUAUGCGGGAAAUCAGCAGCACGUUGUGAUAAAUUAGUCGCUGGAUUUUAUAUCUGUUUUUCAGUUUAGUUUUUAGUUAACAAGCUAGCAAUGAUGUUAACUUGUUGUGUAUACUGUUAUUGUAUUUUAUUUAAGUGGGGGUUACAGUUACCCUAUUUUUAAAAAAUUGUUAAAAGUUUAGAGACAUUUGUGUGUAGUUACUUGUAUGAACUGAGUCUAUAGAAUUUUUAGAUAUUAUAUAUCAUUAAAUGAGUAAUGUUAAUUAGGUUGUUAUUUCUCAAAUUUCUCCCGUCUGUUUAUUAAAAACAUUUCCAUAUUAAAUUUUAUAUGGUAGUGCCUGCUCUAUGUGUUUAUAAAUGGCCGCAGUAUCUUGACUGUGCGAAGGUAGCAUAAUUAAUUGCCUUAUAAUUAAGGGCUUGUUUGAAUGGUUUGACGAGGGGACAAUGAAUAUCGGCUUAGUUGUUGAAAUUAUUAUUAAGGGUACAGAAACCUUUUAGAUUAAUUAGACGGAAAGACCCCGGGAUCUUGAAAUUUUGGCUGGGGCAGCUAACAAUUUUUCAUUGUUGUUAUGACCUCCAAGUUAGGGUUUAUCGAGUUAAGUUACCCCGGGGAUAACAGUAUAAUAGCCUAAGAGAGAUCUUAUCGAUUAGGCUGCUUGUCACCUCGAUGUUGACUUAGGUUUUAUGUCUGGCGCAGUAGUUAGAAUAUUAGGUCUGUUCGACCUUAAAGCCUCCAUGAGUUGAGUUAAGACCGGUGUAAGCCAGGUCGGUUCUUAUCUAUUAUUCUAGUUCAUUAGUACGAAAGGACCGUGAAUUUUUUUAUU